UAACACCCUACUUCACUACCUUGUAUUGCCCUGCCAAAUCAAAACCCUACAAAAAUAGCUCGGAGACAAAACAAAAUUUUUUUUUUGAUAAAGCCUAACAUUUUCAAGACCCGAGAAGGGGACCUUCAUCUAAACACCCAAGCAACAAUAUCCGAGGGAGCACUUUCAUCAACUAGAGCCGUACAUCAAGCACCCGCAUCAUCCCUGUUUCAAACCUCAACCACCACAGGAACCUCUCUCUUCCAUAAAUGCCUAAGCCUUCUAUACCUCAUUUAACCAAAAUCCAACACUAAACCCCGAAGAGCCCUAGCCCCAACCAAACCCGUAUCCCAAACUACCUAGUGCAUGCCCCAGGUCUAGGCGCCCGUACCCUUCACCCAUGAGCACGCCCUCAGCUCAACCCCAACCGUACCUCUACACAACACCCAUGUUACCAAGCACAACCCUUGCCCAAGCCCCUUUUGGUUUUCCACAUCGGCACCCUCCGACCCAUCACCUACUUGCACACUCGCACCUAAAAAGCCCCGGACCAGACACCCCCUUUAUCUAAAAAAAAAUCAAAAACAAAAAAAAAAGAGUUGAACGACAAUGGCUUCUUUUGGAUAAUCGGUGAUGGUGGAAACGAAGAUAGAAUAGGGGUGAACAACAUAUAAAAAAUUUGAUAGGAUCGGACAAUGGGAUUGAGACUUUUGGCGAUUUUAAGUUUUAGACUUCCAUUGUAGAUUUGGGACUUUAGAAGCUGAUUUGGGGAAAACAAGGCUCAGAUCUAUGACGAGGAUACCAAAAAAAACCUACGAUCGAAAUUUAAAACCCAAAAGACCAUCGACUAGUGGCGGCGCUGGCAAUAAAGCGGCGACGGUCGUGACGAGGCUGCGCCAGAAACUGGGGCUAGGAGAGCCUA
rnacentral:lncRNA from 1 species